AUUUUCCGGUUGAUCCUGCCGGCGGCCACCGCUAUAGGAAUUCGAUUAAGACAUGCGAGUCGAGAGUCGUAAUGGACUCGGCGCACUGCUCAGUAACACGUGGAUAACAUACCCUAAAGUGGAGCAUAAUCUCGGAAAACUGAGGAUAAUACUCCAUAGGUCACGAGAUCUGGAAAGACUUGUGGCUCAAAGUUUCGGCGCUUUAGGAUUGGUCUGCGGCCUAUCAGGUAGUAGUGGGUGUAACGGACCCACUAGCCGAUGACGGGUAUGGGCCUUGAGAGAGGGAGCCCAGAGAUGGAUUCUGAGACACGAAUCCAGGCCCUACGGGGCGCAGCAGUCGCGAAAACUUCACAAUGGAGGCAACUCCGAUGAGGGAAUUCCUAGUGCCAAUGCAUUUUGUGUUGGCUUUUCUUCAGCGUAGAUAACUGUUGGAAUAAGGGCUGGGUAAGACGGGUGCCAGCCGCCGCGGUAAUACCCGCAGCCCAAGUGGUGGUCGAUAUUAUUGAGUCUAAAACGUUCGUAGCCGGUUCAAUAAAUCUCUGGGUAAAUCGGAGGGCUUAACCUUCCGAAUUCCGGAGAGACUGUUGAACUUGGGACCGGGAGAGGCAAGAGGUACUUCUGGGGUAGGGGUAAAAUCCUGUAAUCCUAGAAGGACCACCGGUGGCGAAGGCGUCUUGCUAGAACGGAUCCGACGGUGAGGGACGAAGCCCUGGGUCGCAAACGGGAUUAGAUACCCCGGUAGUCCAGGGUGUAAACGCUGCAGACUUGGUGUUGGGAACCCUUCGGGGGUGCUCAGUGCCGGAGAGAAGUUGUUAAGUCUGCUACUUGGGGAGUACGUCCGCAAGGAUGAAACUUAAAGGAAUUGGCGGGGGAGCACCGCAACGGGAGGAGCGUGCGGUUUAAUUGGAUUCAACGCCGGAAAU
rnacentral:rRNA from 1 species